rnacentral:rRNA from 1 species
AGAAUCAACGCUGGCGGCGUGCCUAACACAUGCAAGUCGAACGAGAAAGUGGAGCAAUCCAUGAGUAAAGUGGCGACCGGGUGAGUAACACGUGACUAACCUACCUUCGAGUGGGGGAUAACCUAGGGAAACCUGGGCUAAUACCGCAUAACAUCUUUGGAUCGGAAGAACUGAAGAUCAAAGGAGCAAUUCGCUUGAAGAGGGGGUCGCGGCUGAUUAGCUAGUUGGCGGGUAAUGGCCCACCAAGGCUUUGAUCGGUA